rnacentral:rRNA from 1 species
GACGAACGCUGGCGGCGUGCCUAAUACAUGCAAGUCGAACGCUGAAGGAGGAGCUUGCUUCUCUGGAUGAGUUGCGAACGGGUGAGUAACGCGUAGGUAACCUGCCUGGUAGCGGGGGAUAACUAUUGGAAACGAUAGCUAAUACCGCAUAAGAGUAGAUGUUGCAUGACAUUUGCUUAAAAGGUGCAAUUGCAUCACUACCAGAUGGACCUGCGUUGUAUUAGCUAGUUGGUGGGGUAACGGCUUACCAAGGCGACGAUACAUAGCCGACCUGAGAGGGUGAUCGGCCACACUGGGACUGAGACACGGCCCAGACUCCUACGGGAGGCAGCAGUAGGGAAUCUUCGGCAAUGGAUGGAAGUCUGACCGAGCAACGCCGCGUGAGUGAAGAAGGUUUUCGGAUCGUAAAGCUCUGUUGUAAGAGAAGAACGAGUGUGAGAGUGGAAAGUUCACACUGUGACGGUAUCUUACCAGAAAGAGACGGCUAACUACGUG